rnacentral:rRNA from 1 species
AACGAACGCUGGCGGCAGGCCUAACACAUGCAAGUCGAGCGCGUGCAGCAAUGCACGAGCGGCGCACGGGUGAGUAACGCGUGGGAAUCUGCCCUAUGGUGGGGGACAACCUCGGGAAACUGAGGCUAAUACCGCAUACGUCCUUCGGGAGAAAGACUUCGGUCGCCAUAGGAGGAGCCCGCGUCCGAUUAGCUAGUUGGUGAGGUAACGGCUCACCAAGGCGACGAUCGGUAGCUGGUCUGAGAGGACGGCCAGCCACACUGGGACUGAGACACGGCCCAGACUCCUACGGGAGGCAGCAGUGGGGAAUAUUGGACAAUGGGGGAAACCCUGAUCCAGCCAUGCCGCGUGAGUGAUGAAGGCCUUCGGGUUGUAAAGCUCUUUUGGCGGGGACGAUGAUGACGGUACUCGCAGAAUAAGCCCCGGCUAACUUCGUGCCAGCAGCCGCCGUAAAAC